UCCAAUUUAACCUAGCUUUAUCCAUGCAAUUUUCGUUCAUUUCAAAAUUUCAUAUCCAUGAUAAGUUCUUCUGAUCUAUAUAUCAUUUGUUUGAAUUCUCACAAGAGAGUAGUAACCAUUGAAGAAGAAUUUUUUCGCCUUGUGCCAUUCUUCAACCACCAAAUCCACCGAUGCAACAACCAGCCGGAGCUUGACUCCUUGAUAAUGGAUACACCUUGCUGAGUUAUUCUGUUUUCUUCUCUUCUUUGUGGUUGAUUUCUUUUGAUCUACUAUUGUAAUACCUUAGCUAACUACACAAGCACCGAGCCACCGGUUCUACAAGGCCCACCACUACUACAUGGCCAAAGGAAAAUUCUGCUAAGGAUACUCAAGGCCAUCAAGACCCUGAGUUGUGCCAGUGUUAUACCACCCACACAAUUCAAAUAGAAGGAUUGUGGGCAAUCCUACGGAAUCUAGCGUACAUUACAACUGCACACAAAAAUUGUAUUACACACAAAAAACCACAAAGAGUUGAAAAUGUUUUCAACCACAAGCCUUCCUACAACUCCUUCGUUUGAUCCUUUGAGCAAUACGUCCAUGGGUUAUGUUGCACAAAUUUGAUGUCGAUUAGAAGUCCAAGCAGUCGAUGUCACUGGUUGCCUUUGACCAACCACGACGCGUGCCCUUAUAGCGCCUCCACGCCAGUAUGCGAGUUGACAUACUAUAUCAAUUACAACCCCGGUCCAAACUUGCAAUGCCAUGCUUUCUCCUCCCAAAACGAGUAACUUAGGAAGGAAAAAAUGGGCCCAGACAAUUCCACUACAGGUGAACGUAGACACAAAAUCAAUGUAAGCUGAUAACAAGGGGGACUGUUGCGUCGCAACACCCAGCUUCUUAGUUGACCACCUCCACUUUCUCUGCAGGCGAGGAAUAAAAUCC
rnacentral:lncRNA from 1 species